UACGGAGGGAGCUAGCGUUGUUCGGAAUUACUGGGCGUAAAGCGCGCGUAGGCGGCUUUGUAAGUUAGAGGUGAAAGCCCGGGGCUCAACCCCGGAACUGCCUUUAAGACUGCAUCGCUAGAAUUGUGGAGAGGUAAGUGGAAUUCCGAGUGUAGAGGUGAAAUUCGUAGAUAUUCGGAAGAACACCAGUGGCGAAGGCGACUUACUGGACACAUAUUGACGCUGAGGUGCGAAAGCGUGGGGAGCAAACAGG
rnacentral:rRNA from 1 species